UUUUUGGAAUAAACCAGAGAAUUGGGUCAAUUAAAACCCUAAGUUAUAGAAUGAUCGCCUACAGAUUUCUGUAGCUAUUCAUGAGAUUCUGGAUUUGUUUCGAUUUUUUAUUUUGUGUUUCUCAUUGACCUAUUCUUAACAGUGAUUUUUCAUAGACAGAUUGUAUGUUCUUAGGAAUAUAAAAAGGAUUCCUAAUUAGUUCAACACUUCCAGGGAUUCAUCCUUUCUGCAACUAUUGGCGAGUAGGGUUACUUAAUUAGUCCAUAAGUCCCUAUUCAUCCUCACUCAAAUCAGCUAAACUCACCAUCUACUUUCAGAUAAUCGAAAUAGCCUUUCAGAAUCAGUUGGUUCUGUCGAUGAUACACUCUUCUGCCAUAUGUUUUUGAUUCAAUUUAACCUGAAUGAUUAACAGCACUGUUAUGAAUAUGUCAAUUUUAGAAUCGUGUUUAAUUAUUUGAAUUCCUGGACAGGUUUGAGAGAUUUGGUAUACAAUCUCUAUGUACAAGGUUAUUUACCCUUCAAAUUCUUCUUCGUCUUCUUCAGUUUCUUCAUUGUCUUCUUCUUCUUCAAUUUCAGAGAAUGAUCACUGCAGGCGAUCAUUGAAAAUGCCGCAAUCUCACUUCCAAUCACUCAGAUCAGAAAUCACAGAGGCGAAUUGGUGUCAGUGACCAUGUUGAAGGAAGAGAAUAUGAUCUUGGAAAAAAUGAAUCCCAAAAGGUUGCUGAGGACGAAAAGUAGACCAAACUUUACUGGAUCUGGUAGAAGUUGAUCUUGCCAGUGAAGCACCUGCAAAUAAGGAGGAGAGGAAACCAUUGACAGUCACAGUGCAGUGAUGCCUGUAAGGUCACAACAAUUAGGUUGUAGUUUGUGAUAGCUAAUGAAUGGAAAUGUGAUGCAUGUAAGACAAUGGCUUGAAGAUCAGAGAAAUGGAUCCAUUUUAUGAUGAAUUUGCUAUUACAGAGAGAGCUGCGAAAUAUAAAGCAUAACUGAAAGUAUACAUGGUUAAUGACAACAUAUCACCUCAGAUGUUGCCAAGCAGUUCACCAUCUACUUUUAGAUAAAGUUUCACCUGCAUCUCAAUAUUCUAAAAGGAUUAAAUAGUCCCUCCACAACUAACAGUUGUACUAAUCUAGAAGGAAGAGGUAUAACCACUGACGUUCACGCGUCAAUCCCUUGGCAUAGCAGAUGGGAAUCUCCAAAUUCCCUUCCAAUGAAUUUUUGUGGAAGAGAACAUUAAAUUACCGGUUGAGACCUACCAUGUCCUCAGGUUCUGCUGCUAUUCUGAAGCAUGCAAGGGACAUCAAACUCAUUUGAUGGAGGUACCAGAUCAUUAUAUAGACAUUACUUCCUAAUAGAACCUGAUACUGUAUGGAGGUGCCAGGUUGUUAGAGGGGCAGGAAAUACUUCAACAUCUUUUGAUUUCCUGAAAUUAGUUUCGACUCUCAGUUUUCCAAGCUACAUCAGAAUUCUCCCCCCAAAAAAUUAGUUUCUUGAUUCCAAUUUGGGAAUUUGGAGAUAGCUUUCCAACGAUUUGCAUCUCUAAGAGAGAGAGACUAAUCAUUGUGUAUGUGGUUGCUAAUACCAAGUCAACUAGGUCGUGAUUCAGUUGUUUGCUAAUACCAGAGUGAAAUCGUUGAAAACCAAAGGGAAAAUCACUAGAAAACAUUGAGGUUUAUGGUGGAGGUUCGCCGGGAUCCAAUGUGCUAGCUGAUUUCGAUGUUACUUUUGACCAGAGUAAUGACAGAGUUGCAGAAUUUCACAGCUCACAAGGCUUAGAUAUGUUGUGCAUGUUAUUGCUGUAAUGGGAUUGCAGACACGACGGGGUGCUUUUGUUACAUUUAUGCCAAAGUGUACGUACCUGCACUGUGCUGUGGAUAUGAAGAAAAAAAAUAUGUUGAUGCAGUAAAGGUAUGUGUGUCAAUCAUUUGAACUAAUCAGGUCAAGCCGCUGACAUUUAACUUUAAAUACUAACGGUUCGACUUCAAGUAUGAAUAUUUUGGAUGCUUAGGAAUAGUUGGACCUGGAUCUUUGCCCUUUCAAUGAAUGAGUCUGCCAUGUAUAUAUCUGAUUCUCUCAUAUACUUGAAUAAAUUAUUUUUUAGGUAAUGUUACCUUUGAUAUUGAAGAUGGUAAUCAUCUUUAGGAAGCCCGUGAGAAAAUGCAGAAAUCUGUAUACGGAAAAGGAAGCUCUCUCCAAAAAAAUUCUGUAAUGGCUGUUGUUUGAAGGGGUUGUUAUGAAAAUGCCAUUGUUGGAGUUAAUAGUUGACAUGUUACUCCAAAGCAGAUUGAUAACUUCGUAUCCAAUUUGAAUCUGCUUCACCAGGUUGGGACAAGCAGACCACAUACUUGUUCAUAUCCCAAGGGAGAACAGUGAGUAACCAUUGGUUGCCAUUUUAUGACUGACUGCCUUAUUAUGUCAUCAUCAAUAAAAGAAGGAAUUUAUACAAUGUGGGUGUUUUCUUAUUUGAAGUUAAGUUUCAUUUCUUUCGUAUUAGGCCAUACAUUUGGAUUUUCUCUUAUUAUCAUGAGUGAAUUCUGCCUUCACUGGGAUUCUUUCUUUUGUUGUUCCAUGUUUGUAUUUGAUGAAAAUUUUGACAAAUUUUGGUUUUA